CAAUGGCGUAUAUUAAAGUUGUUGCAGUUAAAAAGCUCGUAGUUGAAUUUUUGCUUGCCGCCGAUGUCGGAACUUCCGUACGUUCGGCGGCGUGCAUCCUUGGGUGGAACCUGUGUGGCAUUAGGUUGUCGUGCAGGGGAUGCUCAUCGUUUACUGUGAAAAAAUUAGAGUGUUCAAAGCAGGCUUACGCCGUUGAAUAUAUUAGCAUGGAAUAAUAAGAUAGGACCUUGGUACUAUUUUGUUGGUUUGCGCACCGAGGUAAUGAUUAACAGGGACAGUUGGGGGUAUUCGUAUUCCAUUGUCAGAGGUGAAAUUCUUGGAUUUCUGGAAGACGAACUACUGCGAAAGCAUUUACCAAGGAUGUUUUCAUUAA
rnacentral:rRNA from 1 species